GAUGAACGCUAGCGGGAGGCUUAACACAUGCAAGUCGAGGGGCAGCACGAGGUAGCAAUACUUUGGUGGCGACCGGCGCACGGGUGAGUAACGCGUAUGCAACCUACCCUGUACAGGGGGAUAACCCGGAGAAAUUCGGACUAAUACCCCAUAAUAAUAUUUUGAGGCAUCUCAGGAUAUUUAAAGCUCAGGCGGUACGGGAUGGGCAUGCGUAACAUUAGCUAGUUGGUAGGGUAACGGCCUACCAAGGCUACGAUGUUUAGGGGUCCUGAGAGGGUGAUCCCCCACACUGGUACUGAGACACGGACCAGACUCCUACGGGAGGCAG
rnacentral:rRNA from 1 species